GAUGAAGAACGUAGCGAAAUGCGAUAAGUAAUGUGAAUUGCAGAGUUCAGUGAAUCAUCGAAUCUUUGAACGCACAUUGCGCCCGCCAGUAUUCUGGCGGGCAUGCCUGUUCGAGCGUCAUUACAACCCUCAGGCCCCCGGGCCUGGCGUUGGGGAUCGGCGAGGCGCCCCCCGCGGGCACGCGCCGUCCCCCAAAUACAGUGGCGGUCCCGCCGCAGCUUCCAUUGCGUAGUAGCUAACACCUCGCAACUGGAGAGCGGCGCGGCCAUGCCGUAAAACACCCAACUUCUGAAUGUUGACCUCGAAUCAGGUAGGAAUACCCGCUGAACUUAAGCAUAUCAAUAAGCGGAGGA
rnacentral:misc_RNA from 1 species